CAGUCGCCGCGGUAAUACGUAGGGUGCAAGCGUUAAUCGGAAUUACUGGGCGUAAAGCGUGCGCAGGCGGUUUGUUAAGACAGAUGUGAAAUCCCCGGGCUUAACCUGGGAACUGCAUUUGUGACUGGCAAGCUAGAGUAUGGCAGAGGGGGGUGGAAUUCCACGUGUAGCAGUGAAAUGCGUAGAGAUGUGGAGGAACACCGAUGGCGAAGGCAGCCUCCUGGGCCAAUACUGACGCUCAUGCACGAAAGCGUGGGGAGCAAACAGGAUUAGAUACCCCUGUAGUCCCUGUCUCUUAUAC
rnacentral:rRNA from 1 species